UAAGAUUCAGCUGUCACCUAAAUUCAGCUGCCUCCUCCCUGAAUCAUGCAAAGUAUUUCUGAUAUUUUCUAUUUUGUUCCUCUCAUUUGCAGGUUACAGGAGGACUUGAGGCCUGCUCAAGUGGUGGUCAUGGCAUUGGCCCGCAAGAUCCUGAGAGUUCUGCUCAGCUGCAAGAUUACGUUCUUAGUGCUUAUGACAAUUCUGCAAAAGAGAGGGCUGGUGGCCGCCUUUUGGUCCCAAACGUACAAGUCUGUAGGGGAUGACUUGAUU